rnacentral:lncRNA from 1 species
UUGAAUCGGCUAAGGUUGAUAGCAAGCCUCAAGAUGGAGAGCAAAAAGAGGUUAAAAUGCAAGGCGAGGAAAAUGUAGAAAAUGUGUGGCCGUGUGAAGGAAAUUGUGAAGUGCCUUUGUAAAAGAGGUGAGGUUAUGAAUUUGUGGGCAAAUUCCUCUCAAGAUGGAGAGGAUGAUACAAGUAUGAUCAUGAUCAUGACACUUUUGAGUAUUUUUGAAGACUAGUCACUAAAGGGCCCUUUUGUCAUUUUGUCUAUUAUUGUAAUGUAGUAUAAAUAGAACAUUGUAGGGUUUAUUUCUUUAGUUGAUCAUUAUUAUUGAAGAAUACUUCUCUUAG